rnacentral:rRNA from 1 species
UAGGGAAUCUUCGGCAAUGGACGGAAGUCUGACCGAGCAACGCCGCGUGAGUGAAGAAGGUUUUCGGAUCGUAAAGCUCUGUUGUAAGAGAAGAACGAGUGUGAGAGUGGAAAGUUCACACUGUGACGGUAUCUUACCAGAAAGGGACGGCUAACUACGUGCCAGCAGCCGUGGUAAUACGUAGGUCCCGAGCGUUGUCCGGAUUUAUUGGGCGUAAAGCGAGCGCAGGCGGUUAGAUAAGUCUGAAGUUAAAGGCUGUGGCUUAACCAUAGUAGGCUUUGGAAACUGUUUAACUUGAGUGCAAGAGGGGAGAGUGGAAUUCCAUGUGUAGCGGUGAAAUGCGUAGAUAUAUGGAGGAACACCGGUGGCGAAAGCGGCUCUCUGGCUUGUAACUGACGCUGAGGCUCGAAAGCGUGGGGAGCAAACAGGAUUAGAUACCCUGGUAGUCCACGCUGUAAACGAUGAGUGCUAGGUGUUAGACCCUUUCCGGGGUUUAGUGCCGUAGCUAACGCAUUAAGCACUCCGCCUGGGGAGUACGACCGCAAGGUUG